UUAUAUGGAGUAACAGCUUCUGAAGAUGAAGAAGAUAGAGAAAGACUGAGUAUUGACUUUGCACCUUUAGUUGCUAAACUUACUAACCUUCAUGUUUAGGAAUCUUCUCUGUUUUGUGUUGAGCCAGCAGCAAACUU